rnacentral:tRNA from 1 species
GGGGAGUUAGCUCAGUGGUGUAAGCACCUGCCUUGUAAGCAGGCGGUGGUGAUUAUGAUCCCCG